GAUGAAGAACGCAGCGAAAUGCGAUAAGUAAUGUGAAUUGCAGAAUUCAGUGAAUCAUCGAAUCUUUGAACGCACCUUGCACCCUUUGGCAUUCUGAAGGGUAUGCUCGUUUGAGUGUCAUUGUACCCUCACACUCCCGAUCUUUGCAUUGGGAGCAGUGGACUUGGGUUUGCUGCUUCACCGUCGCUUACCUCAAAUAGGUUAGUGCAACUCUUGGUUGGACAUAGUACGGCGUGAUAAGUGUUCUUCGCCGGUGCCUCGCAAAGAGGGUGGCCGAUCGGGAUGUUGUGCUCCAAACCGUCUUCGGACAAUCUCUGACGACUUGACCUCAAAUCGAGUAAGACUACCCGCUGAACUUAAGCAUAUCAAUAAGCGGAGGA
rnacentral:misc_RNA from 1 species